CCUACGGGAGGCAGCAGUAGGGAAUCUUCCACAAUGGGCGAAAGCCUGAUGGAGCAACGCCGCGUGGGUGAAGAAGGUCUUCGGAUCGUAAAACCCUGUUGUUAGAGAAGAAAGUGCGUGAGAGUAACUGUUCACGUUUCGACGGUAUCUAACCAGAAAGCCACGGCUAACUACGUGCCAGCAGCCGCGGUAAUACGUAGGUGGCAAGCGUUAUCCGGAUUUAUUGGGCGUAAAGGGAACGCAGGCGGUCUUUUAAGUCUGAUGUGAAAGCCUUCGGCUUAACCGGAUUAGUGCAUUGGAAACUGGGAGACUUAGGUGCAGAAGAGGAGAGUGGAACUCCAGGUGUAGCGGUGAAGUGCGUAGAUAUAUGGAAGAACACCGGUGGCGAAAGCGGCUCUCUGGGCUGUAACUGACGCUGAGGUUCGAAAGCGUGGGUAGCAAACAGGAUUAGAUACCCUUGUAGU
rnacentral:rRNA from 1 species